rnacentral:rRNA from 1 species
UACGUAGGGUGCGAGCGUUAAUCGGAAUUACUGGGCGUAAAGCGUGCGCAGGCGGUUGUGCAAGACAGAUGUGAAAUCCCCGGGCUCAACCUGGGAAUUGCAUUUGUGACUGCGCGGCUAGAGUGUGUCAGAGGGGGGUAGAAUUCCACGUGUAGCAGUGAAAUGCGUAGAUAUGUGGAGGAAUACCGAUGGCGAAGGCAGCCCCCUGGGAUAACACUGACGCUCAUGCACGAAAGCGUGGGGAGCAAACAGG